rnacentral:rRNA from 1 species
GACAGAGGGUGCAAACGUUGCUCGGAAUUACUGGGCGUAAAGCGCGUGUAGGUGGAUUGGUGUGUCAGAUGUGAAAGCCCUGGGCUCAACCCAGGAACUGCACCUGAAACUACCAGUCUUGAGUGGUGGAGAGGGAAGUGGAAUUCCUGGUGUAGAGGUGAAAUUCGUAGAUAUCAGGAGGAACACCGGUGGCGAAGGCGGCGACCUGGUUCGAUGACUGACACUGAGGUGCGAAAGGCGUGGGGAGCAAACAGG